GAUGAAGAACGUAGCGAAAUGCGAUAAGUAAUGUGAAUUGCAGAAUUCAGUGAAUCAUCGAAUCUUUGAACGCACAUUGCGCCCGCGAGUAUUCUCGCGGGCAUGCCUGUCCGAGCGUCAUUUCAACCCUCAGGGCCCGCCUGCUUGCAGGCGCGGCGCUGGUGUUGGGGAUCGGCUACCCUGCCGUCCCCCAAAUACAGUGGCGGUCUCGCUGCAGCCUCCCCUGCGUAGUAGCAACACUCGCAUGUGGAGCGCGGCGCGGCCACGCCGUAAAACCCCCGACUUUCUGAACGUUGACCUCGGAUCAGGUAGGAAUACCCGCUGAACUUAAGCAUAUCAAUAAGCGGAGGA
rnacentral:misc_RNA from 1 species